AUGUCCUGGUGGAAAUUGUGUGUUCCUAAAAGUCAAGGAGGAAUGGGAUUUCGUGAUAUCCACUAUUUUAAUUUGGCGUUACUCGCCAAACGGGCAUGGCGUCUGUUGGAUAAUCCUGAUUCCUUAUGCGCUUCUAUCGUACAGGCAAAGUAUUACCCCGAUGGUGAUCUGUUAAAUGUGAAGUUAAAUAAAGGCUCUUCCUUUACAUGGCAAAGUAUCAUGGAAGGCACAAAUACACUAAAACGUGACUAUAUUUGAUGAGCAGGGAACGGACACAACAUAAAUAUUUGGAAAGAUGUCUGGAUCCUAAGCUAUGCAACUAGAAAAAUUAUAACGCCUAAGGGAGGUAAUAUGUUAACUAAGGUAGGUGAUCUUAUUGAUCUUGCUUCUAAUAAUUGGGAUGAAUACCUGAUUGAACAAACUAUGUGGCCAAUUGAUGUACAAAGGAUUCUUUCAAUUCCCCUACUGCAACAUGAUAUGCAAGAUUCCAUUGCCUGGAAUUAUACAAAAAUUGGUAUUUUCUCAGUUCGAUCAGCCUAUUUUAUGGAGUGGGAUCACCAGUAUGGAACCAAACUAAAACACUCUAAUGGGAUGGGGCGAACCGCACUUAACCCUAUUUGGAGUAAGAUAUGGAAGUUAGCUUGUCUGGCACAAGUUAAAAAUUUCGUAUGGCGUACGCUACAUGGUACAAUCUCAUGCCGAGUUACACUAGCAAAUAGACAUAUGAAGGUUUCACCAUCUACCCCCACUUGCUCGGAGAGCUUAGAAGAUACAAAACAUAUGCUCUUCCACUGUAGUAAAGCAAAGGAGGUCUGGAAAAGGCUGGGGAUGGAUGAUAUUAUU
rnacentral:rRNA from 1 species